AAACAUUCUCACUGUAAUUUCUAAAACAGAAUGUUAAGAUUAUGAAAAUCAAUUUGUAGAUACCAGUAAGUUAUCAAAGAAAUGGCUUAAAAGCAAAGUCAUUCAAGCUUCCCACAUAAACUUCUCACUGCAUCAACCUGAGGUUUCCUACAGCUGCAUGGAGACCUAAGUUCUUUCACUUACCAGAAAGACCUGGUUGGCACUUUCACUGAGAGUGGAGUCAUCAGGGCUGUCAACAGGUGUCUGACGUGUAAACUUUGAAUCAAACUGACUCACAUCCUCUUCAGAUUGCUUCAUAAGAACAAUGGUUAGAAAAUGGUGAACAGUCUAUAUUAUUCCUAUCAAUCAAAGGUGCCACAAGCCCUAUAUUCUUUGCACAGGGUUUAACUGUAAUAAAACAUGAGAAUAAUUUUAGCAGCCACAG
rnacentral:lncRNA from 1 species